GGCCCCGUGGCGGAACUGGCAGACGCAUGGGACUUAAAAUCCCUCGCCCUUCACCGGGCAUCCGGGUUCGACCCCCGGCGGGGCCA
rnacentral:tRNA from 1 species